rnacentral:rRNA from 1 species
CCUACGGGGGGCUGCAGUGGGGAAUAUUGGACAAUGGGGGCAACCCUGAUCCAGCCAUGCCGCGUGUGUGAAGAAGGCCCUCGGGUUGUAAAGCACUUUCAGUGAGGAAGAACGCCUGGUGGUUAAUACCCAUCAGGAAAGACAUCACUCACAGAAGAAGCACCGGCUAACUCCGUGCCAGCAGCCGCGGUAAUACGGAGGGUGCGAGCGUUAAUCGGAAUUACUGGGCGUAAAGCGCGCGUAGGUGGCUUGAUAAGCCGGUUGUGAAAGCCCCGGGCUCAACCUGGGAACGGCAUCCGGAACCGUCAAGCUAGAGUGCAGGAGAGGAAGGUAGAAUUCCCGGUGUAGCGGUGAAAUGCGUAGAGAUCGGGAGGAAUACCAGUGGCGAAGGCGGCCUUCUGGACUGACACUGACACUGAGGUGCGAAAGCGUGGGUAGCAAACAGGAUUAGAUACCCGAGUAGUC